rnacentral:rRNA from 1 species
CAGUCGCCACGGUAAUACGAAGGGGGCUAGCGUUGCUCGGAAUCACUGGGCGUAAAGGGUGCGUAGGCGGGUCUUUAAGUCAGGGGUGAAAUCCUGGAGCUCAACUCCAGAACUGCCUUUGAUACUGAAGAUCUUGAGUUUGGGAGAGGUGAGUGGAACUGCGAGUGUAGAGGCGAAAUUCGUAGAUAUUCGCAAGAACACCAGUGGCGAAGGCGGCUCACUGGCCCGAUACUGACGCUGAGGCACGAAAGCGUGGGGAGCAAACAGGAUUAGAUACCCGAGUAGUCCCUGUCUCUUAUAC